rnacentral:ncRNA from 1 species
AUUGAGGAGCGGCAGAACAUCAGUAUCCGACCGGAGGAAAAGAAAGGUUUUCCGUCCGCACGGUCGGGGAAAGGGUAUCUCCGCCGAAGCGCGCUUUCCCCUUUCGUCGCGCGCUGGGGACGCGGGAGAAUACCCCCGUCACUGUCACUGCGGUGAAGCGCUUUUCG